AUGCCAAGAAAGUAGAAUUAGAAUAUUUAGCUGACCUUCGACUUUGUGCAAGGUGUUUGAUAUUCAAAUUGCAUUUUUCAGUCUUUUCCUGCAUCCUGAACAGGCGUAUUAGCAAUCUCGUACCCAGAGUUUGCCCGUUCGCAAGUUAGGUCAUGCCCAGCACCUAACCUGUAAACGGGCAUACUCUGGGCUGUUUACAUGAUGGAAGUUGGGAUGAUUUUGUUGUAUUGAAAUAAGUCACUAGGCUAAACGAAAGUUCAAAUGCUGGCUAUAACCGAACUCAAAUGUUGUAGAGAAGAUCAUGCAGUUCAAGAUUUUUAUAGCUUUUUGAACAACCUUUCCAUUACAGUUA